UACGUAGGGCGCAAGCGUUAUCCGGAAUUAUUGGGCGUAAAGAGCUCGUAGGCGGUUUGUCGCGUCUGCCGUGAAAGUCCGGGGCUCAACUCCGGAUCUGCGGUGGGUACGGGCAGACUAGAGUGAUGUAGGGGAGACUGGAAUUCCUGGUGUAGCGGUGAAAUGCGCAGAUAUCAGGAGGAACACCGGUGGCGAAGGCGGCAUCCUGGACCGACACUGACGCUGAGGAGCGAAAGCCAGGGGAGCAAACGGG
rnacentral:rRNA from 1 species